AUGAACGCUAGCUACAGGCUUAACACAUGCAAGUCGAGGGGCAGCAUGAACAUAGCUUGCUAUGUUUGAUGGCGACCGGCGCACGGGUGCGUAACACGUAUCCAAUCUGCCCGUCACUCGGGGAUAGCCUUCUGAAAGGAAGAUUAAUACCCGAUGGCAUGCAUUUCCGGCAUCGGAGAUGCAUUAAAGAUUUUAUCGGUGACGGAUGAGGAUGCGUACGAUUAGGUAGAUGGCGGGUAACGGCCCACCAUGCCUACGAUGUCUAGGGGUUCUGAGAGGAAGGUCCCCCACACUGGAACUGAGACACGGUCCAGACUCCUACGGGAGGCAGCAGUGAGGAAUAUUGGUCAAUGGUCGGAAGACUGAACCAGCCAAGUAGCGUGAAGGAUGAAGGUUCUAUGGAUUGUAAACUUCUUUUAUACGGGAAUAAAACCACCUACGUGUAGGUGCUUGUAUGUACCGUAUGAAUAAGCAUCGGCUAACUCCGUG
rnacentral:rRNA from 1 species